UACGGAGGGUGCAAGCGUUAUCCGGAUUCACUGGGUUUAAAGGGAGCGUAGGCGGGCAGGUAAGUCAGUGGUGAAAUCUCUGGGCUCAACCCGGAAACUGCCAUUGAUACUAUUUGUCUUGAAUAUUCUGGAGGUAAGCGGAAUAUGUCAUGUAGCGGUGAAAUGCUUAGAUAUGACAUAGAACACCCAUUGCGAAGGCAGCUUACUACGGAACUAUUGACACUGAGGCUCGAAAGCGUGGGGAGCAAACAGG
rnacentral:rRNA from 1 species